GGGGGCUGACAUUAAAGUCCUUCUAAUACCAAGUAUCUGCAAGGGUGAUCCGAACAAAAUCAUUUCAAUUAGCAUCCCAUUCUUAAAGAAAAAAUAAAUAAACCAAAUGGGAAAAAGCAUCCGAAUAAAAAUUAAAGAAACCAGACAGAUACAUUGUUUUUUCUAUUCAAAUGUCUACAAGAUACCUGCUCCUUCACCUAAG